UCUCAAAGAACCAUCGUUACUGCAUAAGGUGAGUAACUUCCUCUUCUUCUUCGAAGCAGUACCCACCACUGGAGGCUGGGACUUCGGAGCGGAGUCUUUUACUACAGAGAAUACUGUGGAGUUGAAGAUGGUGUCAGCGGCCAAAUCUUCAGUAAUCGCAUAAUGUUCUGCGAAAGUAUGGACAGAGGCCCAGUCAUUGCUCUAUAGAUUGGGGAGAUAGGGGUAUCCCUAAUGAAUGUGGUUGAGGUAGGAACUGAUCUCAUGGAGUGCGUAUGGACAGAAGCAAGUUGCGCCCUUGCUAAAUGAUUAAUGCAACUAGAGACCCAUUUGGAUAGUCUUUGAGGAGAUAUCACAGAGCUUUUUGAUCUUUCUGUGGACGAAAGGAAGAGUCUAGGGGAUUUCCUGAAGUUCUUAGUCCUGUCCAAGUAGAAUGCUAAUGUCCUUCUAAUAUCUAGCAUAUGCACAAUUGUCUCCCAGUUGUCACAAUGUAGUUUUGGGAAAAAACAGGGAGAUGGAUCUGUUGAUUCAUAUGGAAAGUGCAGAAAAAGUAGGGAGAAACUUGGGAUAUGGCCUUAGAGGUUGUUUAAAAAAAAAAAAAAAGACAAAGGCUGUUAAUGAUGGGUGUGCCACCAGGGCCGCUAUUUCUUCUAUGUGCCUAGCUAAGGUAAUGGCAAUUAGAUAUGCUGUAGUCAUGGACAGGUGUAAGAGAGAACAAGUUGCCCUGGACUUGGAGGGAGGUCUAGUCCAAGCCCUGAGAACUAGAUUAAAGUCCGAGGCUGGAGCGGGUGGUGUUACAUGGGGGAAGAGAGUCCCAAUGCCCUUAAAGAGUCUACAUAUUAGUGGGUGAGCAAACUCCAAGUGGGAAGCCAUUUUUGCCAUGAGAUGUACCUUAAGGGAGCUGAGUGAGAGUUUAAAAUGUAGUGCAAAAUCAGAGAGAGGAAAGAUGAGGUUGCGUCUGUCCGUUUGGAAUGGUACAAACUUGGAGUCAUUUCCAUUUUGUAGAUAGGUAUGUGGAGUGGUCAACUUGGGGUUGUGGUGCAACGUGUGUUUCAGCUUGUCAGAGCAUUCUGCUUCUAAGCCUUGGAAGAAAGAAAGAUCCAAGCCUGGAGGCGGAGGACCCAUGGGUUGGGGUGAAGGGUCAGCCCAUUGUUUUGAGAGAGCAGGUGAGGAAUGGGCUGAUGUCAGAGGAACAGGAGGGCAUAUUGCCAUCUGCAUCAGGUAAGGGAACCAGACUUGUCUUAGUCAAGAGGGGCAAUCACAAUAACUCUCGCUUUGUUUCGUUGAAUUUUCAACAGAAUCUUGGAUAGGGU